rnacentral:rRNA from 1 species
AGUGAACGCUGGCGGUAGGCCUAACACAUGCAAGUCGAACGGCAGCACAGUAAGAGCUUGCUCUUACGGGUGGCGAGUGGCGGACGGGUGAGGAAUACAUCGGAAUCUACUUUUUCGUGGGGGAAAACGUAGGGAAACUUACGCUAAUACCGCAUACGACCUACGGGUGAAAGCAGGGGAUCUUCGGACCUUGCGCGAUUGAAUGAGCCGAUGUCGGAUUAGCUAGUUGGCGGGGUAAAGGCCCACCAAGGCGACGAUCCGUAGCUGGUCUGAGAGGAUGAUCAGCCACACUGGAACUGAGACACGGUCCAGACUCCUACGGGAGGCAGCAGUGGGGAAUAUUGGACAAAGGGCGCAAGCCUGAUCCAGCCAUACCGCGUGGGUGAAGAAGGCCUUCGGGUUGUAAAGCCCUUUUGUUGGGAAAGAAAAGCAGCAGGUUAAUACCCCGCUGUUCUGACGGUACCCAAAGAAUAAGCACCGGCUAACUUCGUG